UUAACCCUGCAGGAAAAGGCUAGAUGCCCUGCUAUCAUUAUUUGCUCACUGCUUCUGGACUGAACUACUUACUGUACCAGCAAAUGUGAUACCUUCUUAGCAGGAUACCCACACUUUAAAUGAUUUCUGACAUAGUGCUAUGAAAUGUAUUUGUUUACUGUGAGACCCACGGCAGGCCACGACCCUGUGAGACUCUCUUUUCUCAGCCCUGAAAUGACAGAUGUAAUGCAGCUUGCAGAGCUGUGGAUUGAACUGGAUAACUCUGGAAGAUGCCAAGGAAGUAUCUAGCAGGUGAGCGGAUCUCCUACAUCUCGUUAUGGAAUCACCAAGUUCAAGUUCAUUCUGCUUCCUGGAGGACUUUCAAGCUAGUGAACUUCUGUGGCUAAUUUGAUAUUCAAUGUGAAAGUUCAACCAGCGGUUAACAAAGCUGUCACCACAAGCCACUCAUCUAGAAUGAGCUCCAUACAUUUGCUGCCCUGCCAAUGGACCACUCUUCUCAGCCUGGCUGCGCUCCCAGGCCAGACUCAUCCUUGGGACGAUUGUCCAUGCCCUAAACUUCCACGAAGGUGCCAGUAACCCUCAGGCUGCAGCGGAGUCGCACAGUGGAGACCAGGAAGUAGGGGGAGGCAGAAGGGGAAGGAGUAGCGGAAUGCACACAGUACUUAUUACUGGUACAGUAAGAAACAAUAGAGCUGAGGAAGUGACCCCCUUCUACUCAUUUUGGCCAUUCCUCCUUCCCUUGUCCUAAGAGAGGUGGAAAAUAAAAUAACAAAAACCCAGGAGAUGUCUGAUGCUCAAGUUGAGAGCACAUGUGUGUUGGAUCUCUGAGCCUGACCUUCAGUCACCUUCACCCAGCUCAAACCUCAUUAAGGGCUCAUAAAUAUGUACUAUGUGUCAUGCUUGUAAUUAAGGUCAGAAUGAAUUCUGGGACAAGUAUGUGUGUUGAGAACUACUGAGAGGGCCCAGCUGCCUGUCACACUAGAGGUUUAGGGGAGGCACCUGGGCUGAAGUGCAUGUUCUUUCAAUUCCAAAAGGCUGAUUUAUGCCAGUUGGCUUCUGUGUGCCAUGACCUGUGUGAGGUGCUUUUGCUUUUCUGUCACUCCUGCACCAUUUUUCUGUCUCUGCCAUAUCUUUUGUCAGCACAGAUUUACCCUAAGCACAACUGCUUGUGAUCUUCAAUAAAAAUAGCUUGCCAUUUGCUACUGAGCAUAUCCUUGGCAAUUCUUUGCUUAUUGUACACAAGAGCCUGGAGUAUACUUGCCCAUUACAUCGUAACAUCAUGACUGAUUAGUUCUCCCCUGGAAUAAAGCAGGACUUCAUCUAUUGUACCAGAAAACAAGUACAGACUGUGCAGCCAUUGUGAGGAUUAAAUUAAGUGAAUUAAGACCUCUAAAGAGCAUGGAAGAGCCUGGUUCCAUGGUAAGCA
rnacentral:lncRNA from 1 species